rnacentral:lncRNA from 1 species
CAUUGAAGAUAUAAUUAGUUAUGAUGGGGUCAAAUCAACCCUGGUGACUAUUCAGUCUUAGACUGGUAGCCCCCAAACUGUGGGGCAAUAAAUUACUCUUAUUUAAGACAACCCAGUGUGUGAUGUUUAGUUGUGGCAGUCCUGGGGAAAAGUGCACUGGCCAAAGGAUUAAUUUCCAUCCCUUAGGCACCUGCAAAAGAGAUUCUGGGGAACCUCUCCAUUUAGAGGACCUAGUAAUUAUAUCCUUUACUGUCCUGGAUAAUAUGGUCACUUUUUAGCAACUGGUCUCAUCUAUCACUGGUUGCCUAUGAGUGUUAUCUAUCAAUGUCAAAGACUAUAGUAAAUUCUGAAACUAAUUUACAUAUAAUAAAAAGUCAAAUGAAUCAGCUAUGGUGCAGCUCUGAUUGAAAUUUUUUGGAGAAUAAACAUUCUAUAAUUUGGAGAAUUGAUCUUUUAUGGGUUGUGGAUAAGACUAUGAAUAUCUAUUACAUAUAUUUGCAAGAUGACAGAAUGAGGACAAAUAUAAUUAUGCAUGUUUAUUCUCAGUUCCUAUUGAACUGAGUUUUUUUUUUUCCCUUUCACAUUUAUUAUGCAAGUAUGAUAAGCUCUGCAGCAAAUAAGGGACAGGUCGGUGUAGAGUCUAUAUUUCUGUUUCCAUGGAGGCAAAGCUGGAAAGAAAUCAUGAUAUACUUUAAGAAUUUGUGCCAGUUUUAAAUUAAGGCAGAAUAUUGUUGUAUUCAUGUUGUAGAAAGUUAUUGAAAAAAAAUAGUAAGUUUUUCCUCCCUAUGGGUGAUUCACUUCAAAUUUAAAUAAGUGAAUAUUUUCUAUUUCAAGAAAUGUUUUUAUGAAUAAGAGAAUGCUUUCCAAACUCUAUUGAGGAGAAAUCUUCCCAUUUGGGGAGGGCAUUUUAUUUUCUUUGAAUUAACCAAAUAACAUCUCAGCUCCCAUUUUUAACAAAAAAUUUACUGGCAAAUAUGGAAGUAUGAUGUGGGAAAUACGGUAUUUCCUUCUGGUGGGGGCUUUCAGUUAUAGGACGUAUGUCACCACGUUAUAUAUUAGCUACUCAGUCUUCAUUUAUCCUAUAACUGAUAAUCACUAUUCUAUUCUCUGUUUCUAUGUGUUCAGUUUUUUUUUUUUUUUCAGGUUCCACAAAAAAGCAAUACCAUUCAGUUUUUUUUUCUUUCUCUGUCAGGCUUUUUUCACUUAGAAUAAUGCCCUCCAGUUUGAUCCUGUCAUUUGCAGUUGUUGAAGCAUCCUUGUAUCCCAGAGAUUAACCCUACUUGGUCAUGGUGCAUGAUCCUUUGCAUGUGCUUUUGAUUUCAAUUUGCUAAUAUCUUGUUGAGAAUUUUUGCAUCUAUAUUCAUCAGGGUUAUUGGCCUUACAGUUUCCUUUUCUUGCAGUGUCCUUUUCGCUUUGGCAUCGGAGUAAUGCCGGCUUUGUAAUAUAAGUUCAGGAGUGUUCCUUUCUUGUUCCUAAGGUAGCACAUUAUACAUUCUUCUUUGUGUCUUCCUUAUUUCACUUAAAAUACAGCAAGAAAUAAUUCUAUUUCACUAUAUCAAUUUUUUUCUUAUUUUUAUAACUUCCCAGUACCAUUGUUUGUGCAUAUGCCGUAAUGCAUUACUCAGUCCCCUGCCAUUAGACAUGUGGAUUGUUUCCAGUCUUUUGUUAUUACAAAUCAUAUGUAUUUUUACCAGUGAGUCUUUGGGAUUCUUAGAUAAAAGAUAAAUGCAGUUGCAAUUAUAAAUUGUCAAAUUUCUCUCCACAGGGUUUGUAUCAUUUCACAUUUUCCUCAAUAUUGAGUGAGACUGUCUUCUUUGAGCCAUGCUAACAGUAUACACUGUCAGGUUUUUGAAUUCUUGCUAAUCUAACAGGUAAAUAGGGGUAUCUCAAAGUUAUUAUUUUGGAUUUCUCUUACUAGGACUGAAAUCACUUUCAAUUACAUUUUCCCCCAUUUGCUUUUCAUAUAUUUUUUUCCAUUUUUCCAUUAGUUCUGUCUUUAUUUUUCUUAGUUUUAUUUUAUUUAAUUAAAAAAUUUAAAUUUAAAUUAUUUUAUUAAAGUAUAAAUGACAUAUAAAUUAUAUUAGUUUCAGGUGUCCAAUGUAUUGAUUUGAUAUUUGUGUGUAUUGUGAAAUAUUGUGAAAUGAUCACCCCAAUGAGUCUAGUUAACAUCUGUCACCACACAUAGUUACAAAACUAUUUUUCUUACAAUUAGAACUUUUAAGAUGUGUUCUCCUAGCAACUCUCAAAUAUGCAAUACAGUGUAAUUAACUAUAGUCACCAUACUGUACAGUACAUCCCCUGACCUAAUUAUUUUAUAACUGGAAGUUUAUGCCUUUGGAUCCCUUUUACUCAUUUUGGCCAUCCCUCACCCUCUCCUGGCAAUCACUGAUCUGUUCUCUGUAUCUAUGAACUUGGUUUAACUAUUUAUUUAUUUUAGAUUCUUUGUAUAAGUGAGAUCAUGUUGUACUUGUCUUUCUAUGUCUGACUUAUUUCAUUUAGCAUACUGCCCUCUAGGUCCACACAUGUUCCAAAUGACAAUUUUCAUUAUUUUUUUAUGGCUGAAUAAUAAUGACUAUAUGCGUGUGUCACACUUUAUUUAUCCAUUUAUCACUUAGGUGGUUUCCAUACUUUGGCUAUUGUAAAUAACGCUGCUAUAAACAUGGGGAUGCAUAUCAUAUGUCUUCUCAAGCUAGUGUUUUCAUUUUCUUUGGAUUAAUACCCAAAAAUGAUUUUUGAGGAAACUCCAUACUGUUUUCCAUAGUGGCCCCACAAAUUUACAUUCCCAUCAACAGUACACCAGGGUUCCCUUUUUGCUACACCCUGACCACACCUGUUAUUUCCAAUCUUUUUGUUAAUAGCCUUUCCAAUAGUGUGAUACAAUAUCUCAUUGUGGUUUUGAUUUGCAUCUUCCUUAUAGUGAUGUCAAACACCUUUUUCAGCUAAAUGUUAGCCAUUUGCAUGUCUUCACUGGAAAAACAUCUGCUCAGCUCCUCUACUUAUUUUUAAAAUCAGAUUGUUUGCUGUUUUACUAUUGAGUUGUAUGAGUUCUUUAUAUUUGGGAGUUUUAACUCCUUAUCAGAUAAUACGAUUUGCAAAUAUUUUCUCCCAUGCUGUAGGCUGCCUUUCAUUUUCUUGGUGGUUUCCUUUGCUGUGCAGAAGCUUUGUAGUUUAAUGUAUUUCCACUUGUUUAUGUUUUCUUUUGUUGCUUUUGAUCAUUAUCAAGUUAUAUGUCAAGGAGCUUAGCACAUAUGUUUUCUUCUAGGAGUUCUAAAGUUACAAAUCUUAUGUUCCAAGUCUUUAAUCCAUUUUAAAUUUACUUUCUGUGUAUGGUAUAAAACAGUGGUCCAGUUUUAUCCUUUUACAUGUCCAGUUUUCCCAGCACCAUGUAUUGAAGAUACUGCCCUUUCCCACUUAUAUAUUCUUAGCUCCUUUGUUGUAAAUUAAUUGGCCAUAUAUUCAUGUUUUAUUUCUGGGCUCUAUUUUCUGUUCCAUUGAUCUAUGUGUUUAUUUUUAUGCCAAUAUCAGUGUGUUUGAUUACUAUAGCUUUGUAUAGUUUGAAAUCAGAUAUUUUUCUUAAUUUUUAGAGAAUCUAUGCUUGGAAUAUUGGCCCUUCCUUAGGAAUUUAAUAGUAAAAUUUUCCCUAAUUUGUCACCUGCCUUUUGGCUUUGCUUAUGGUAAUUUUUUUCCAUGCUAAUUAAAAUUUUUAUCAUCUGU